UGCCCAAUAGCUAGCUCACCUCCACAAAAACAAAACCACCCUAUCAAUACCCCCUAACACACUUCAACACACAAACAAACCAUUUUUCCCCCUUAGUAUGGGCGACAGAAAAGGAA
rnacentral:rRNA from 1 species